ensembl:lncRNA
UGCAUUUAUCCAUUUCAGUUUUUUAUUUUUAUAUUGUUUAAUGGUUAGGUUGUGUAAACAAAUCCUAGUUUUAUUAAGAUGUACAUGUAUAGCAAUAUUAGUUUUUAUCUUUCAAAUGGCUCUUUGUGUCAGUGGAAUGGCACUAUCUAAAUUUAACCACCUGUUUCUAUAGCAAUGAUAGGACAAAGUGACUGUUGUACAAACCCAUUUCACCUCACUUCAACCUAAGAACAAAGAAAAGUUGGUGAUGGUGUUUGUGGUAUGUGCAGAGGGCCUGAUCCUGCAGUUCUGCUCAGAAGUUUUCUUGAGCAAGACCCCCUGUGGUGAGAGGGGCAGGCAGAGCCUGGAAGGAAGAGGCGGAGUGAGGGUGGGGGCCUUGAGGGAAGAGGUGUAGAGGGAGGGAAGGGAGGCUGGUGGCUCCCCCACUUCUAGGGAGCUACUUCAGGAACUACCAAGGUGAUGGGCGGGUGCAUCUGUGGCAUUUGACCUCCUGCAUAACCAGCCUUUUUUUUUGGUGGGGAGGUUUAGCCUCCCCAAGCCUCUUGUACAUGCUGCCCACACACUUGUGACACAAGCCCUUUGUUCUUAGAGACCCUUUGUGAACUGGUUUUCUUUCAGAAAGUGCUGUCAAUUUGUGCUUGCAGUGCAAACGCUUGUGUGUGAGGUUGAUGGUUUCUAGAUAAAUGGAUUUUGUGCAUGUUCAGUCUAUGACCUGUGUUUGCAAGUAUUAGUGCUAGAAAAGUGCACUUGUAAUUUUACACAUACAAACACAAGCAAGUUCACAAAAGGAGGGUGGGUUGGAACCCUUUGAAAUUCAGACCUUUGAUCUCCCUUGCCUUGAGGAAGCUUUGAGGUCAGACUUAAACUCAGAUCAGUUUUGUGACAACAGAAGGCACUUUGUGCAGGGUGACAUGUAAUGCUCUAGAGCAGGAAACAUCAGUGAAUCCUUUCCACCCAAACAUGCUUUGUCUGUUUUCUCUCUUCUGUGGAAAAGCAAAUACUGGAAUCCCUGAAGUUCCAGAAGUCCACUACCUGGAUGGCCAAGUCACGGAAGAUGGCAAGUUUGAACAUGAAAUACAGUUCAGACGGGAAGAGCUGGAAGAGUGUGGGAUAACUUCUCAGGAGUUGUGUAUGCCACUGAGACUGAAGGCCCACUGUACAGAGCAAUAGUUCUGAAGCAUGGGCAGUGAAGAGACUGCAGGUUGAGUGCCUACAGGGGUUUGCGAUUAAAAGUCUUCACGCAAUAAGAGUUCUGACAGGACAAGAUUUUGAAAUGAAAGCCUUAGGAGACUCUGGCCUGCAUUUCCCUCUCUCAGAAAGCCAGACUGGGGGGACUAUCCAGUGUGAAAGGUGCCUGCUGGUGGAAUCUCUCAGGAAGCAGGUGGGAGCGAUUAAAGGAGGAGCUGACUAGGCUGAGUAGCAUCCAUGCCCACAAGGAUUUUCCUCAAGUGUAGUCACAUGGAGACAUCCAAGGCUGAGGAAGUUAUCCAGCUACAGAGGAUUACUCUCACACCACUGAGGGUGGAGGAUAUGGCUCUGUCACAGGGAGGGCACUGGCAGUUAGUUACUUCUGGCAGCAGUGCUCCACCUCUACUCCCAGCCCACCCACCAUGGUGAUGGAAAACUGAUAUGCUGCCCUGGCAAUGAAUGAUGAGGAAUUCCCCUUCCCCCCCCUCCAAAGGUGGAGGAGGAGAAACCAUGUACCCCCAAGGCUGGGAGGACCGCAGCCACCACUCCCAGGAGGAAACGUAGGUAGUGGUGGUUGGU